rnacentral:rRNA from 1 species
UACUCCUACGGGAGGCAGCAGUGGGGAAUAUUGCACAAUGGGCGCAAGCCUGAUGCAGCGACGCCGCGUGAGGGAUGGAGGCCUUCGGGUUGUAAACCUCUUUUAUCGGGGAGCAAGCGAGAGUGAGUUUACCC